rnacentral:lncRNA from 1 species
GAGAUUUAAGAACUAAAAAUUCUAAAAAUUUCAGACGGCUAGAAUGUAGGCUAAAAACAGUGUUCCAUUCAACCUUUCCGUGAUCUGUGAGUUAUUUUUGAUUUCUGAAAAUGGAAUCUGAUUCUGGUGUAUGAAGUGAGCUAAAUUUGAGUCUUGGAAGAGUUUUAGCUUAAUUUUUCUGCUGGUUGAACACUAUUUCAUUGGUUUCAUCUUGGGUUAAUUUCACUCUUUCAAGUGGUUGACUCUGGAAUCAUAUUCUGGGUUGUUUACUGCUUAUAUUCUCACUCCUAUUUGUUAUUUUACUUUCCAGGUAUUCUCUGACUCUAUGAAAGAUGAGAUACAAGUGUGAAAGUUUGUAGUUACCUGAAGAUUCUAUAAAUGAAUGUUGUUUCCUUUAAAUGUUAGCUAUUUACUUGGAAUUUCUGAAGUUAGAAAUAUAGUGUUACAAUGUUUAACCUUACUUGUUCAGUUUUGAUAUAGUAGUAGUGCAAUGUUCUCUAGGCAAUCUAUGCUGCAUUUCUUAUUGAUGGGAAACUGGAGGUCUACUAGUUUGUUGAUGUGUAUUCAG